rnacentral:rRNA from 1 species
CCUACGGGCGGCAGCAGUGGGGAAUAUUGGACAAUGGGGGCAACCCUGAUCCAGCCAUGCCGCGUGUGUGAAGAAGGCCCUCGGGUUGUAAAGCACUUUCAGUGAGGAAGAACGCCUGGUGGUUAAUACCCAUCAGGAAAGACAUCACUCACAGAAGAAGCACCGGCUAACUCCGUGCCAGCAGCCGCGGUAAUACGGAGGGUGCGAGCGUUAAUCGGAAUUACUGGGCGUAAAGCGCGCGUAGGUGGCUUGAUAAGCCGGUUGUGAAAGCCCCGGGCUCAGACCUGGGACGGCAUCCGGAGGUGUCAGGCAGGAGCGUAGGUGGGGAAGGUAGCAGUAGUGGUGGAGCGGUGCAAGGCGGCGAGAUAGGGAGGAGCGGCGGUAGCGAGGGCGGCUUACCGAGCUGUAAAUGACGCUGUGGUGCGAAAGCGUGGGGAGCGAGCAGGAUAAGAGACGGUGGUAGUG